rnacentral:tRNA from 1 species
GGGCCUGUGGUCUAGUGGCUAAGACGCUUCCUUCACAGGGAAGAUAUCAGGAGUUCGAAUCUCCUCGGGCCCA